rnacentral:misc_RNA from 1 species
CAUCUGAAAUCGACCAUAUGACAAGCAAUGCCAACACUGCAGACCGGCUAACCUCAAAACCUUUUUACUCACUAUCUCGUCUUCUAAACUCUGGAAAGCAUUGAUCAUGAAAAGUAGAUAAUUAAUUUUCUCAGGAAUUGUCAAGCUUCUACCCUCUUUCAGCCGAAGAACCCUAUCAAGAAAUGCCUUGAACAUAUCCUUUCUAUCAUAGAAGCAGAUCCAUGCAGCCACAUUCUCCCGAAACUUCUCGUUGACCAUCAGUAUCAUUGACAUCACAUGCUCGAAGGAAGAAGCCUCUGGAUCAAAAUUGGGCCAAAGAUAAUUCUCCAAAUACUGACUAACCUCCAAUAUCAUCACCCUCUGCAAUGGCACCGGCUUUCUCCCCCCUUUUACAGUAAGCUCCGUGUCAUAAAUUUCUUUAACAAGCUCAGAACUAAAGGCUUUCUUCUCUCCAGUUUUCGCCCAAUUGGAAGCUGCAAUUUUAGUCAAGCGGUCACGUUGGAUCUCAGCAAGGGUUAUAGAGCUAGGUAUGUUCGACCCGGGCUUCGACUCCGGCGGCUUCUCAGUCAUAGAAGGCAGCAUUUUCUGUGGAGCCUCCGCCGUCUGCGGCAAUGCUUCCACCGGGUACUCAGCUACCCGGUGGCGCCGGAAAUCGUAGGUGCCAGUUCCGUAUACCUUGGUCAUAAUUGCUGUAAUUACACUUCCGAUGAGAAAAAGUUAAGGGUGCUUGUUUCUCUAUGAGAUUUGAGAAUCUCGUAGAGGAGAACGAAG